rnacentral:rRNA from 1 species
AGUGAACGCUGGCGGUAGACCUAACACAUGCAAGUCGAACGGCAGCACAGUAAGAGCUUGCUCUUACGGGUGGCGAGUGGCGGACGGGUGAGGAGUACAUCGGAAUCUACUUUUUCGUGGGGGAUAACGUAGGGAAACUUACGCUAAUACCGCAUACGACCUACGGGUGGAAGCAGGGGAGCUUCGGACCUUGCGCGAUUGAAUGAGCCGGUGUCGGGUUAGCUAGUUGGCGGGGUAAAGGCCCACCAAGGCGACGAUCCGUAGCUGGUCUGAGAGGAUGAUCAGCCACACUGGAACUGAGACACGGUCCAGACUCCUACGGGAGGCAGCAGUGGGGAAUAUUGGACAAUGGGCGCAAGCCUGAUCCAGCCAUGCCGCGUGGGUGAAGAAGGCCUUCGGGUUGUAAAGCCCUUUUGUUGGGAAAGAAAAGCAGCAGGUUAAUACCCCGCUGUUCUGACGGUACCCAAAGAAUAAGCACCGGCUAACUUCGUG